UUAGUAACGGCGAGUGAAGCGGCAAAAGCUCAAAUUUGAAAUCUGGCACCUUCGGUGUCCGAGUUGUAAUUUGAAGAAGGUAACUUUGGAGUCAGCUCUUGUCUAUGUUCCUUGGAACAGGACGUCACAGAGGGUGAGAAUCCCGUGCGAUGAGAUGUCUGAUUCUAUGUAAAGUGCUUUCGAAGAGUCGAGUUGUUUGGGAAUGCAGCUCUAAGUGGGUGGUAAAUUCCAUCUAAAGCUAAAUAUUGGCGAGAGACCGAUAGCGAACAAGUACAGUGAUGGAAAGAUGAAAAGAACUUUGAAAAGAGAGUGAAAAAGUACGUGAAAUUGUUGAAAGGGAAGGGUUUGAGAUCAGACUUGGUAUUUUGUAUGUCUUGCUUUCGGGUGGGGCCUCUACAGUUUACUGGGCCAGCAUCGGUUUGGACGGUAGGAUAAUGACAUUGGAAUGUGGCACCACUUCGGUGGUGUGUUAUAGACUUUGUUGAUACUGCCUGUCUAGACCGAGGACUGCGUCUUUGACUAGGAUGCUGGCAUAAUGAUCUUAAACCGCC
rnacentral:rRNA from 1 species